UGGGGACUCGAAGACGAUCAUAUACCAUCCUAGUCUCAACCAUAAACGAUGCCGACCAGGGAUUGGCGGAUGUUGCUUCUAGGAGUCCGCCA
rnacentral:pre_miRNA from 1 species